CUCUGCUGAAGAGUCUCAAACUAGGACGAAACGGCUGUCCAGUAC
rnacentral:hammerhead_ribozyme from 1 species